UAAAUGAACUUCCUCCUCAUACUACAUUUAUAUAUUCUUGAGUAAUUUAUAUAUUUUUAUAUUCUUGAAUCGAAAUGCAAAAUUGUAUGAUCGUAACUUAGUUGGCAGAUAAGUUGGAUUGUCAUGAUCUUAAAGUGAAAUGUGUAGACAGAAAUUUUGAUUUUAUUGUAUCCCUUUCCCUGUUGAUUGAUCCGUGCAGCAUUUCUUUGAGUUUUCUCACUCUCUCUCUCUCUCUCUCUCUGUACAUGCCAUCUAUCUACAUUUGUUUGAAGGUAGUGAGUGAAAAUGGGGUUGCACGUGGUGCCCGUGACUUUGGCGAAGGUGGCGAGGCAGAGUUUGGGCCCUGUGGUGGCUUGGACCGUUUGUCCUCUAGCGCUGAAGCUCUUGCUAAGUCUAAGGUUGUUCCGACAAGAAGCCGUUUACUCAACCAGGUUGUUCUUCUUCCGAUUCGGUCGGAUUUUCUUCAACAGGGAAAUACCAUUUGCCAAUGGCACAAGGUUCGAGCGAGCCUUCAGAUUAAUGUUCCAAACCCUUACCACUACAACUACAACACAAGAAGAACAACUCAACGACCAAACCUUUAAUACCAUCUUAACGCUCACACUUUAGUCGCUUUCUUUCAACCCUUUGCUACAUUUUAUUUGUUGGCCGGCUUUGGCAAAUUAAUGAGGAUUGCGGAAAUAAAUGCCGUACAAUUAUGCGUUUUAAUUAUUAUUAUGCCGUUUAGCAAAUAAUAGCAGUCCUACUCCUGUUCUGACCCAGAAAGGAGGAGAAAUUAAAGAGCAGGUGUGUGACCUUGCAGGGAAUUCAAUUUCAGCGAUGCCUUCACUGGAUCUUUUCGGACUGGGAUGCACUCUUGCCGAUUUAAAAACAAGGCACUUUAAUUAUGCGGUCCAAUUUUACAUCAUGUUCGUUCAUAUCAUGAACAUGGCAUCUGCACUUUUUAUCUAAUUUUGUUAAUGAAAGCUUAUGUCAGUCAGGUUUUGGGAGUUAAUUAGGACAAUUUAUGUAAUUUGGUACUCAAAGUUGCGUGGUUUCUUGAUUUUUAUCGGUUAUAAGUAUAUCUUCUCUUGCUUAGAAGAAUACCCGGAACAAGAUAUUAUCUUGCAUAAAAUUAUGUCUUUCUUAUUAAGCAUGUUUUUCUUCUACCAUUAAUAAUAGUUUGGAGCUUGUUAUUUUUUAA